rnacentral:rRNA from 1 species
CAGCCGCCGCGGUAAUACGAAGGGGGCUAGCGUUGCUCGGAAUGACUGGGCGUAAAGGGCGCGUAGGCGGCGAUCAAAGUCAGGCGUGAAAUUCCUGGGCUCAACCUGGGGGCUGCGCUUGAUACUUGGUUGCUUGAGUGGGGAAGAGGGUCGUGGAAUUCCCAGUGUAGAGGUGAAAUUCGUAGAUAUUGGGAAGAACACCGGUGGCGAAGGCGGCGACCUGGUCCAUAACUGACGCUGAGGCGCGAAAGCGUGGGGAGCAAACAGGAUUAGAUACCCGCGUAGUCCCUGUCUCUUAUAC